AGGAUGAACGCUAGCGGCAGGCCUAAUACAUGCAAGUCGAGGGUGAAAUUAAAGCUUGCUUUAAUGGAAACUGGCGCACGGGUGCGUAACGCGUAUGCAACCUACCUAUCACUGGGGAAUAGCCCAGGNAAACUUGGAUUAGUACCCCAUGGUAUCAUCGAAUGGCAUCGUUUGAUGAUUAAAGCUUCGGCGGUGAUAGAUGGGCAUGCGUAAGAUUAGUUUGUUGGUGAGGUAACGGCUCACCAAGACUACGAUCUUUAGGGGGUCUGAGAGGAUGAUCCCCCACACUGGCACUGAGAUACGGGCCAGACUCCUACGGGAGGCAGCAGUAGGGAAUAUUGGUCAAUGGACGAAAGUCUGAACCAGCCAUGCCGCGUGCAGGAUGACGGCCUUCUGGGUUGUAAACUGCUUUUCUACAAGAAGAAAAGGCCCUUGCGAGGGACAUUGACGGUACUGUAGGAAUAAGCACCGGCUAACUCCGUGCCAGCAGCCGCGGUAAUACGGAGGGUGCAAGCGUUGUCCGGAUUUAUUGGGUUUAAAGGGUACGUAGGCGGGCCUUUAAGUCAGUGGUGAAAGCCCACAGCUUAACUGUGGAACUGCCAUUGAUACUGGAGGCCUUGAGUACAGUUGAGGUAAGCGGAAUUUAUGGUGUAGCGGUGAAAUGCAUAGAUACCAUAAAGAACACCGAUUGCGAAGGCAGCUUACUGGACCUGUACUGACGCUGAGGUACGAAAGCGUGGGAAGCGAACAGGAUUAGAUACCCUGGUAGUCCACGCCGUAAACUAUGGUUACUCGUUGUUGGCGAUACACUGUCAGCGA
rnacentral:rRNA from 1 species